rnacentral:rRNA from 1 species
CUGCUGCCUUCCGUAGGAGUCUGGUCCGUGUCUCAGUACCAGUGUGGGGGGCCUUCCUCUCAGAACCCCUACGCAUCGUCGCCUCGGUGGGCCGUUACCCCGCCGACUAGCUAAUGCGCCGCAUGCCCAUCCGUGGCCGGGAUUGCUCCCUUUGGCGGCCUUGGGAUGUCCCUAGGCCGCGUUACGCGGUAUUAGACGGGGUUUCCCCCGCUUAUCCCCCUGCCACGGGCAGGUUGCAUACGUGUUACUCACCCCGUGCGCCGGUCGCCGGCAACGG